rnacentral:lncRNA from 1 species
GGGCUGGGAAAGGCACAUCUUCUAGCUAAAGACUUCCUUUACCAGAGGUUCUUUCCUGUUGAGAAAAACUGAAAGGUGAUUUAUUAGGCUGUUCAAAAGAACCUCCUGCCCUACCACACCUGCCUCUGAUACUUACAAAUAUGUUCUGAAGUUCAUAGUUAUUUACAGAUUCUCUCCAGAAGAUCUUUUACACGUUAGGUUUUGUAAAAGUAGCCUUGGAAGCUGGACGUGCCAUACAGGGGUUCCGUACUGGUAAACCCAGCCACAAUUCUGAAACUGGAGCCAUACUUUUGUCUGUGAGGAAACCAUUGAAAUAACAAGAAAUAAUACAUACACUGGUGAUUUGUAUGAAAUUAUUCUUGAGUUUAUUAUUUAAUAAAGAAUAUUCAGAAAUAGGCAAGUAAAACAUGUCAUUGAUGUCACAGAUGAAGAAGCUACGUACAUGUGUUAACGGGAUUCAUUCACUGGUUUAUGGACCCAGACUUCUCCUGGGACGCCACAAAUCCACGGGUAUGUAGACUCCUUUCAGUUUGAUAGGAAUGCAGAUUAGUCACCAAAUAUCUGUGAAUAGUCAAGGAUUAUGCAAAUAAUUCUCCUGUGGGCUCACUAAGGGACUCUCUUCUCCAGCAUGUAGCCUAGAAACAUUUUGAGUGGAGACAGCCCAGAGAUUUCAGCAAUGUUGGUUGUGCUUUUGCUGAGCAGACGUUUUUAUGGACACCUGGGCCAUCCUCACUGCACAAAGAAUCUUUGUAAACAUUUCCUCUAGUCAGCACUUUCCCAUUAUAGGAAUGGUUAAAAUUAUCAGGUGUCAUCCCCAAAACAGAUGUUUGUUUCUGCCAAAUUAUUAUAAGAAGCUUCCAUAUUGGAGAUGUUAAAGAAAUACUUGCAACUGAAAUACGUACUCUGCUUGUUAAGCCUUUGCCAAAAUACCCUUUUAUGUUUAGAGAGCUAUUUUGCAUGAAGCUAUUGUCAGCUUGUGUGGGCAGGUCGUUCUCUAAGUGUAGUAUGGAUGCAGUUUGGGGAUUAGAAGAUCUUAAAAUGAUCAUGAGGAUUUAUUUUGAGUUCUGAGUUCUUCAAAAGAAAAAAUAUACAUAAGAGUAUAUUCCUGCCAGGGGCUCCCAGAAACCUGAACGUAGUUCUUGUUUCUUUUGUUUCAAGAAACAAAGCACAAGAUUUGCUUGAAUCCUACACAUGGGAAGUUCUAAAUGUAGUCGUGUUCUUUGGUUAUUUAUAGCGCAUGAGCCUCCACAUACUCUCCCUUCUUAUUAUCUCUCCGCCCCCUCUCCCAGAACCAUGACCCUAUAUUUAGAACUGAAGCGUCAUCUUCUGUGACCACAGCAAGGUUGUGCCUCUGAGAAGGAUUGCAGGUUACAAGGAUAAAUCACCAAAUGGAGAAGAUAUCCAUUUAGGACAUUUUCACCUUCUGGGAGAUAAGACCUCUAUGUAAGAAACCCAAUUAGUAGGCAGGUUCUCUUUUAUAUCAUUUUAUAGAAGAAUGCAUUUUUUAUAAUAACCUGGUAUGCGUUGCAAAAAACACUGCUGUCAUUACAUAUUACUGAGUUUUUGGAGUAGAUCUUUAUUGUUUACACACACACACACACACACACACACAGGUACAUGCAUGUGAAAGGGAUUAUUUGACUGGGUAAAAUUUAAAAUUCUAGUUUAACAACAACAGUAUCAACAAAACUUUUAACCCAGGAAGAUCUUUGAUACCUGCUUUUGAGAAGGGAAGUAAGUCUUUGAAGAUAUAUCAUGGAAUUCCCUCACCAAAAAAAAAAA